rnacentral:rRNA from 1 species
UACGUAGGGUGCAAUCGUUAAUCGGAAUUACUGGGCGUAAAGCGUGCGCAGGCGGUUUUGUAAGUCUGUCGUGAAAGCCCCGGGCUCAACCUGGGAAUUGCGAUGGAGACUGCAAGGCUUGAAUCUGGCAGAGGGUGGUAGAAUUCCACGUGUAGCAGUGAAAUGCGUAGAGAUGUGGAGGAACACCGAUGGCGAAGGCAGCCCCCUGGGUCAAGAUUGACGCUCAUGCACGAAAGCGUGGGGAGCAAACAGG